GUUACAUUUGCCACCACAUGUAUUUUUUUUUCAUAGAAGGAUCUAAACUUAAAAGUAAUGCUUAAUAGAAGGUGAACCAGCUGCAAGACAACCAGAGAAUCUGUAACAAAGAAGAUAUUAUAUUCCACUAAGAGACAGAACUUGAAGUUAGCUUGAGCUGAUGGUUGAUGGCAAAAGAUAACAUUCACGGUCCAGUCCACAAGCAAUGUACCAACAGGGUAAAAAAAGUCAUAUUGUUCUAACAAGAAAACACCAGUCACAGGAAGCCUUACGUCAUAUGAAACAUGCUGAGACAUGGACAGAGAAAUCUUUGUAUGAAAACAGAACUCUGACAGGUGUGAG